rnacentral:rRNA from 1 species
GUCUAUGGCCACGCCACCCUGAACAAGCCGGAUCCCGUCUGACCUCAGAAGCUAAGCAGGGUCGGACCUGGUUAGUACCUGGAUGGGAGACCACCUAGGACGACCAGGUACUGCAGGUG